CCUACGGGGGACUGCAGUGAGGAAUAUUGGUCAAUGGACGAGAGUCUGAACCAGCCAAGUAGCGUGAAGGAUGACUGCCCUAUGGGUUGUAAACUUCUUUUAUAUGGGAAUAAAACGUUCCACGUGUGGGAUUUUGUAUGUACCAUAUGAAUAAGGAUCGGCUAACUCCGUGCCAGCAGCCGCGGUAAUACGGAGGAUCCGAGCGUUAUCCGGAUUUAUUGGGUUUAAAGGGAGCGUAGGUGGAUUGUUAAGUCAGUUGUGAAAGUUUGCGGCUCAACCGUAAAAUUGCAGUUGAAACUGGCAGUCUUGAGUACAGUAGAGGUGGGCGGAAUUCGUGGUUUAGCGGUGAAAUGCUUAGAUAUCACGAAGAACUCCGAUUGCGAAGGCAGUUCACUGGACUGCAACUGACACUGAGGCUCGAAAGUGUGGGUAUCAAACAGGAUUAGAUACCCCAGUAGUC
rnacentral:rRNA from 1 species